rnacentral:ncRNA from 1 species
CGACCUCAGAUCAGACGAGAUUACCCGCUAAAUUUAAGCAUAUCAAUAAGCGGUGGAAAAGAAACGAAAACGAAUUCUCCAAGUAGCGGCGAGCGAAACGAGAAAAGUCCAUACACCGAAGUCGGCGAGCAGUUGUGUUCGUCAACAGUGUGGUGUUAAAGGUGUCGUUGCAUGUGCUGAAAUCAGUUCGUAGGCUCCCUUGAUUGGGGCUUCAGAGCGGGUGCAGGACCCAUAACGAACGAUGUUUUGUGCAUGGUGUCCCGGCUCCUAAUCGAGUCGGGUUGACUGAAAAUUUUUUUCCCAAGUUUGUUCGCAAUCGCCCUGUUGGGGGGGGGGGAUUCACACCACCACCGAUACUUUUUUAUACCGCGAAGGCAUGUUUGAAUUUAAACAUCGGACAAAAAUUUUUCAACAGGAUUUUUUCAACCGAUUUAUCGGGAAAAACAAAUGGAAUCUGAAGGGCCCUGUUUUUUUUGCAAAUUCUCCAGAAAAUAUGGUUUUUUUGGCCAAAAGUAUCUUUUAGCAUUUUUUUUUCGGUUAAAAUUUUUGUUUCUUAUUCAAAAUCUAA